AUCUCUUAUCUUUUGUAAAUAUGUCAUUGUAGUCGGCCUAUGCUAGGUCCAGUGUGUUUCAUAGCUGAGAUAGUGCAGCGACAGGCAGGCAGCCGCGAAUCACAUUUCACUUUAGCUGAACUUCUCAAAUCUAUUUGAGCUAUGGCAGAGGGAACACAGUGAGUCUGUCCGGUCUACUAAUAGUCCGGCCCCGCCGCGGAUGUGGCAAGCGAGGACAUGCUGGUAGCCUAUUCUUUAUGAUUAUUUCUUAAAGAGCCGGCGAACGCAACACAGCUCCGUUUGCUAUGGAUGCUUCUUUGGCCGAAGUUUAUAUAGGCCUACUUUGCUACACUGUUACAAUGUAUCGACUCAGAGCACGGAUCACUACGUAGCUUAGUCGUCUUUUCUCACACUCGCAUCAUUGUUGCCGCUGUGCAGCGAGGACACGAUAGUUACGGGGGGAGACAGACGAAACACAGCGUGACUGUCGCUCAGGACUUGAACUUGAACUUCAUUUUGAAAUUGUCGUCCAUGUGUGAUCGACGUUAGUCUUCUUUUCUUCCAUAAGCAAUAUUCAUUAUUCUGUGAUUCAGUGACAAACUACGAGGAGAAAUGAGGAAAAUACAGAUGUUUUGAAGACAAUAAACUAAACUGCUGGCUGCUCCACCUCGGACAUUGAAGAAGUGGACGUUUCAUAUCAACAGAAAGUAAAAGAAUUGAAGAAUGCAUGUUAUAGAUGUUGUUAUAACAGGAUAACUACAUUAUGGUUCUGGAUCUACUACGCUGGUGGAAAAUAAGGCCUGUCUGGAUUUCAACAUCCUAGAUUUCGCAUCCAUAGUUGUUGUGUGCUGCUGACUGUCUACCCAUGUCCGAUUUGAGGUUGAUUGGAUCUGGGGGGCAAUGUAUAGAGACGGAACAGACCCCGGAUUAAAAGAUGGUGUGAACCUGAGAUGGGUCAAGGAGGAACAGGAGGCAAAAUAUGAGAUCGGACAUGGACUCAUUGCAUGCUUCUACACCUGCAUUGCUUGCUGUUUGGGGUUUUAGGCUGUGUUUCUGUACAGCACUUUGUGACAUCACCUGAUGUAAGAAGGACUUUAUAAAUAAAUGUGAUUGAUUGAUUGCAUGCAAUUCACCUUUUCAUGUCUGAGCUCUCACAUGAGGAUCACUUUAAAGGACCACUCGGACUGUUCAUCAGAGACAAACCAACUGUCCUUUGGUGUGAGGUAGUAGGUUGUAUAGUUUUAGGGUCACACCCAGGCUGUCAGAUGACUAUACAACAUACUGUCUUUCCUGAAGUGGCUGUAAUAUCAUCACAGACUCUCCACAUGAAGAACCCUCAUCAAAAGCUGCAAUGAAAAUGUACCUUUCGUGCCUACGUUAUUACUAUUAUUACAAUAUUAUUACAUAAUUGUAUUAUUAUUCAUUUCAUAUUUGAACAGGAAAUGGGAUUUCACAUUUUCUGGUUGGACUCCAUCUCUAACCAACUGGUCAAUCGGAUUGUGGCCGGGUCGAUGGUUCAUGGUGUUCGCACAGAGUGAGGUAGUAGGUUGUGUGGUUUCAGGGUUGUUAUUUUGCCCCAUCAGGAGUUAACUGUACAACCUACUGCCUUCCCUGAAGGGCAGCAACACAACGCUACGAGCAUGGCCACAAUGGAGCUCACUGUCUACUGUGCUGCUUUUAAUUGGAGCGAGAAGUAAAGAAGGUAAGCUAUCUCAAAUCAUUGCCUUGGUAAUUUUUUAUUUAGGAACAGUGGGUUAACUGCCUUGGUCGGGGAUAAGACAACCGAUUUUCACCUUGUCAGCUCAGGGAUUUGAUCUUGCAACCUUUUGGUUACUAGACGAACGCUCUAACCACCUAGGCUACCUACCAAAAUGUGCUAAACAGAGUAUUUUGUGUAUUGGAAUUUGGAAAUAGACCUAUUGUUUAUAUAUCUUCAAUUUUGUAAUAAUCCAUACUGUACUAAAAGUCAUAAUAAAAAGUGAGUAGUCUUAGUCA